rnacentral:rRNA from 1 species
UACGUAGGGUGCGAGCGUUGCCCGGAUUUAUUGGGCGUAAAGGGCGCGUAGGCGGCCUGGCGCGUCGGCUGUGAAAUCUCCCGGCUCAACUGGGAGGGGACGGCCGAUACGGCUGGGCUUGAGCGAGGUAGGGGAGAGUGGAAUUCCCGGUGUAGUGGUGGAAUUCGUAGAUAUCGGGAGGAACACCAGUGGCGAAGGCGGCGACCUGGGCCAAUAUUGACGCUGAGGUGCGAAAGCGUGGGGAGCAAACAGG